CCGGCCUCAAGUCGAGCGACAGUACCCGCCGAAUUUAAGCAUAUUAAUAAGCGGAGGAAAAGAAACCAACAGGGAUUCCCUUAGUAGCGGCGAGCGAAGCGGGAGGAGCCCAAGCUCUGAAUCUGGGCGCGCGCCAAGUCCGUGCCCCGAAUUGUGGUCUCAUGGCAAGGCAUCGCUGAGCGCGGUCGCUGGUCGGGCAAAAGUCCCUUGGAAAAGGGCGCCAGGGAGGGUGACAGCCCCGUCCAUUGGUCCGGCAUCGCGGCCGUCUCGAUUGCGCUGUUGCACUUGCCCCAGAGUCGGGUUGUUUGGGAAUGCAGCCCUAAGCGGGUGGUAAAUCCCACCCAAGGCUAAAUAUUGUCAGCGAGAGACCGAUAGCGAACAAGUACCGUGAGGGAAAGAUGAAAAGGACUUUGAAAAGAGAGUCAAAAGUGCUUGAAAUUGUUAGGAGGGAAGCGAUCGGCGCCGGCGGUUCGUCUUUAGUUCGGGGCUGUUCAGUGGUGCCUGCUUGUCGGGAGGGCCGCAGCGGCGGGGAGUGCUCACGCGCCUCCGCUCUGUGUUCGUCCUGGCGCAAACCAUGCAUUCAGUCCCGGCGACGAGCCAGCAUCGGCUUCAUGUUUAUGCGUGUGGCUGACGGGCGCUGGGGAUCAAAGGGCCUGGCGGGCCGGCUUCACAGCCGUGUCCUGCCGGUGCGACCCAGCGUACCUGCCAUCGCAGGGGCCGAGGAACCAAUUAACCCAUGCCCGCAAGGGCGAGGC
rnacentral:rRNA from 1 species